UACGAAGGGGGCUAGCGUUGCUCGGAAUGACUGGGCGUAAAGGGCGCGUAGGCGGCUUGCACCGUCAGAUGUGAAAUUCCUGGGCUUAACCUGGGGGCUGCAUUUGAUACGUGUGGGCUUGAGUGCGGAAGAGGGUCGUGGAAUUCCCAGUGUAGAGGUGAAAUUCGUAGAUAUCGUGAGGAAGACCAGUGGCGAAGGCGGGUCUCUGGACAGUUCCUGACGCUGAGGCGCGAAGGCCAGGGGAGCAAACGGG
rnacentral:rRNA from 1 species